rnacentral:rRNA from 1 species
UACGGAGGGUGCAAGCGUUGUCCGGAUUUAUUGGGUUUAAAGGGUGCGUAGGUGGCUAUUUAAGUCGGUGGUGAAAGCCUGCAGCUUAACUGUAGGACUGCCAUUGAUACUGAAUAGCUUGAGUACUGAUGAGAUAGGCGGAAUUGAUAGUGUAGCGGUGAAAUGCAUAGAUAUUAUCAAGAACACCGAUUGCGAAGGCAGCUUACUAAGGAGUUACUGACACUGAGGCACGAAAGCGUGGGGAUCAAACAGG